rnacentral:rRNA from 1 species
CCUACGGGAGGCAGCAGUAGGGAAUAUUGCUCAAUGGGGGAAACCCUGAAGCAGCAACGCCGCGUGGAGGAUGAAGGUUUUCGGAUUUUAAACUCCUUUUGUUAGAGAAGAUAAUGACGGUAUCUAACGAAUAAGCACCGGCUAACUCCGUGCCAGCAGCCGCGGUAAUAAGGAGGGUGCAAGCGUUACUCGGAAUCACUGGGCGUAAAGGGCGCGUAGGCGGGAUAGCAAGUCAAAUGUGAAAUCCUAUGGCUUAACCAUAGAACUGGAUUUGAAACUGUUAUUCUAGAGUAUGGGAAGGGUAGGUGGAAAUCUUGGGGUAGGGGGAGAAACCGUAGAGAUCAA